CCUACGGGGGGCUGCAGUGAGGAAUAUUGGUCAAUGGGCGCAAGUCUGAACCAGCCAAGUCGCGUGCAGGAUGACGGCCCUAUGGGUUGUAAACUGCUUUUAUACGGGAAUAAACCGCCUUACGUGUAGGUCUUUGCAUGUACCGUAUGAAUAAGGAUCGGCUAACUCCGUGCCAGCAGCCGCGGUAAUACGGAGGGUCCGCGCGUUAUCCGGAUUUAUUGGGUUUAAAGGGUGCGUAGGCGGAUUGUUAAGCUAGCUGUGAAAUGGCGAGGCUCAACCUGGGAAUUGCAGCGGAAACUGGCGGGCUUGAGUGCAGUGAAGGCAGGCGGAAUGCGUGGUGUAGCGGUGAAAUGCUUAGAUAUGACGAAGAACCCCGAUUGCGAAGGCAGCUUGCUACAGCGCAACUGACGCUGAUGCUCGAAAGCGCGGGUAUCAAACAGGAUUAGAUACCCCAGUAGUC
rnacentral:rRNA from 1 species